rnacentral:rRNA from 1 species
UCCUCCUGGGAAACGGGUGGUAAUGCCGGAUGCUCCGACUCCUCGCAUGGGGUGUCGGGAAAGAUUUCAUCGGUAUGGGAUGGGGUCGCGUCCUAUCAGGUAGUCGGCGGGGUAACGGCCCACCGAGCCUACGACGGGUAGCCGGCCUGAGAGGGCGACCGGCCACAUUGGGACUGAGAUACGGCCCAGACUCCUACGGGAGGCAGCAGUGGGGAAUAUUGCACAAUGGGCGCAAGCCUGAUGCAGCGACGCCGCGUGCGGGAUGACGGCCUUCGGGUUGUAAACCGCUUUUGAUCGGGAGCAAGCCUUCGGGUGAGUGUACCUUUCGAAUAAGCACCGGCUAACUACGUGCCAGCAGCCGCGGUAAUACGUAGGGUGCAAGCGUUAUCCGGAAUUAUUGGGCGUAAAGGGCUCGUAGGCGGUUCGUCGCGUCCGGUGUGAAAGUCCAUCGCUUAACGGUGGAUCUGCGCCGGGUACGGGCGGGCUGGAGUGCGGUAGGGGAGACUGGAAUUCCCGGUGUAACGGUGGAAUGUGUAGAUAUCGGGAAGAACACCA